UCUUUCUUGAUCAGAUGUCUUCUGUCUAUCCACUCUGGCUCUGUCUACUCCCUUCCCAACACAUGCCCUAUUUUAGGUAACCAUGGUAGUUUUGUUUUGUUUUGUUUUGCUUUUGUUUUUGGAGAUGGAGUUACACUCUGUUGCCCAGGCUGGAGUGCAGUGGCACGAUCUCGGCUCACUGCAACCUCUGCCUCCUGGGCUGAGGCAGGAGAAUGGCGUGAAGCCGAGAUCGCGCCACUGCAUUCCAGCCUGGGCGACAGAGCCAGACUCCAUGUCAAAAAAAAAAAAAAAAAAGCUGGGAUACCUC
rnacentral:lncRNA from 10 species